GUCACCUAGGAAUCUUGUUAAAAUGCAGAUUCUCAUUCUGGGGUGAGGCCUAAGAUCCUGUUUUUUUUAACAAGCUUCCAUGUGAUGGAGA
rnacentral:pre_miRNA from 1 species